rnacentral:rRNA from 1 species
GUCGAACGGCAGCACGGGUACUUGUACCUGGUGGCGAGUGGCGAACGGGUGAGUAAUACAUCGGAACGUACCUUAUCGUGGGGGAUAACGCAGCGAAAGCUGUGCUAAUACCGCAUACGCCCUGAGGGGGAAAGCGGGGGAUCGAAAGACCUCGCGCGAUUAGAGCGGCCGAUGCCUGAUUAGCUUGUUGGUGGGGUAAAAGCCCACCAAGGCGACGAUCAGUAGCUGGUCUGAGAGGACGAUCAGCCACACUGGGACUGAGACACGGCCCAGACUCCUACGGGAGGCAGCAGUGGGGAAUUUUGGACAAUGGGGGAAACCCUGAUCCAGCAAUGCCGCGUGAGUGAAGAAGGCCUUCGGGUUGUAAAGCUCUUUUGUCAGGGAAGAAACACCGGCUCUAACACAGUCCGGGAAUGACGGUACCUGAAGAAUAAGCACCGGCUAACUACGUGCCAGCAGCCGCGGUAAUACGUAGGGUGCAAGCGUUAAUCGGAAUUACUGGGCGUAAAGCGUGCGCAGGCGGUUAUACAAGACAGGCGUGAAAUCCCCGGGCUUAACCUGGGAAUGGCGCCUGUGACUGUAUAGCUAGAGUGUGUCAGAGGGGGGUAGAAUUCCACGUGUAGCAGUGAAAUGCGUAGAUAUGUGGAGGAAUACCAAUGGCGAAGGCAGCCCCCUGGGAUAACACUGACGCUCAUGCACGAAAGCGUGGGGAGCAAACAGGAUUAGAUACCCUGGUAGUCCACGCCCUAAACGAUGCUGACUAGUUGUUCGGGAUUUACAUCCUGAGUAACGUAGCUAACGCGUGAAGUCAGCCGCCUGGGGAGUACGGUCGCAAGAUUAAAACUCAAAGGAAUUGACGGGGACCCGCACAAGCGGUGGAUGAUGUGGUUUAAUUCGAUGCAACGCGAAAAACCUUACCCACCUUUGACAUGUACGGAAUUUGCCAGAGAUGGCUUAAUGCUCGAAAGAAACGUC